rnacentral:rRNA from 1 species
GUGCCAGCAGCCGCGGUAAUACGUAGGCAGCAAGCGUUGUUCGGAGUUACUGGGCGUAAAGGGUGUGUAGGCGGUCCUCUAAGUUUGGUGUGAAAUCUCCCGGCUCAACUGGGAGGGUGCGCCGAAUACUGAAGGACUAGAGUGCGGGAGAGGAGAGUGGAAUUCCUGGUGUAGCGGUGAAAUGCGUAGAUAUCAGGAGGAACACCGGUGGUGUAGACGGCUCUCUGGACCGUAACUGACGCUGAGACACGAAAGCGUGGGUAGCAAACAGGAUUAGAUACCCCGGUAGUCC